rnacentral:lncRNA from 1 species
UCAACGUGAUUUUUCUUAUUGCUUGUUUCUAAGUAACUAACUAGAAACUUGAUCAUAGGAUAGUUAGGCGCAUGCGAGAGAUGGUCAGUUUCCUAAACUGAAUCCUGCUGAGCUAGGUUGCUAAGCGCAUGCAAGAGCUGGUUUAUUUAAUCUAGUGAACUUAUAGAUCUGAGCGUUAUUGAUUGUCUAAAAAAGUAUUGAUCGACACUUUGUAGUAUCGAUCGACACUCUAAUAGUUAGCAUGUGAGAGCUGGAAUAAGGAUUUAGGCAUUUGAUUAGAUUAGCAGUGAGAGCUGGAUAUCUUACUAUUGCAUUCGAGUUCUAGGAUCAAAGCAUUAACAUCUAUAGAUUUGAGUUCUGAUAACCUGAAUGAAACCGUAAGUCUAGCACCUGUCUUCCAUAGUUUAAAACUCUCUUUUAUUUACUGUUUUAUUUUUUGCUCUUUAUUAUUUGACAUAGCUUAAUCUGAAAUCAAAGUCUAUUGUGUGAAAGUUUAGUCUCUGUGGAUUUGAUCCAUAAGUACUGCAAUCGAUCUCUUAUUUGAGAGUGUUGCUCUAGGGUAAUUUGAACAUAUCAAUAGAUAUCUUUGUUGUUGGUUGUUGUAACCAAACCACCUCAAGUUUUAGUGAUGGAAUGAUCGUUUGAUGUCAAUAUAUAUAUAUAUAUAUA